GUAUACCUUUGAAACAAAGCUACUUAGCCAGUGAGGACUGAAAUAUGAACUUGAUAAGCUACCGAACAUUAAAAAAAAUCAUGGGACAGCAUUUUAACAGUCCAGCAGGAAAAUGUGCCGUCCAGCUUUUAUUUGGUCUUGGGGCGUCCUACCUGAUGUACAAAGCUCUCAGCAGGGCCCGCUGUAAACUCCCAGAAGUUGAAGUGCAAGAAGAAGAUCCUCGGGUGGAAGCCUUGAAAAAACGCAUUGAAAAUCUCCAAGGGUCAAAUCGCAAGAACAACAGUGAUCAGUUAUGCGAGAUUGCGCGUAUACUAGAGACACUUGCAGCUGAUGUAAACGUUUUUUUAAUUUUUUAUAUGUAUAUAUAUAUAAAUCUCUAUUACUAUAAUCCCAAGCCGUUCCAUUUGUAAUCCUAAAGAGACCUCAUGUUUGAAUUUUCUCGCACAGCACCGAGUGAACUUGAGCUCAGGGCACGUUCAGGUUAUAGCAGAGUCACUGAUGGAGAGCGAGGGAGAAGUCAGGAUAAAAUGUUUCCACGCUCUUCAGUGCGUUUUACAGUAUGCGGCAGAAACCACAGCAGCGGUCAAGGUGAGUUCCACAUGCCUCAUUAUCUUUAACAAAUAAUAUAUAGUUCUGAAUCAAGACAAAUCCCAGGGGAUAUUCCCAUUACCCAGGCUUCUAACAGCGAGUUACUUCACAACAUGCUUAUGCGUGUGUGAGGUCCCUUGCAUACCUAUCAGGGGGUGUCGUGACAGGGGAGGCAAAGCAGGCCCAGAGCAGUAAGUAAAAGUGAUUCUUCACACCACAGUGGUUUCUAGGGACAAGGUGUGUUAUGCAAAUCAGGACCCAGAUGACUCAGGGCUGGUUGAUGAAUGGGACAAACCAAAUGUGUUUACCUGUGCUGUUACACAGAACUGACCUUAACAACAGCUAAGUAGUGUGUGUGUGUGUGUGUGUGUGUGUGUAUGCAUGUACAUAUGCAUGUGUGUGUAUGUCUUUGUGUUUCCCUCUGCGUGUGUGGGUG
ensembl:lncRNA